rnacentral:rRNA from 1 species
UACGUAGGGGGCAAGCGUUGUCCGGAAUCAUUGGGCGUAAAGAGCGUGUAGGCGGCCCGAUAAGUCCGCUGUGAAAGUCCAGGGCUCAACCCUGGGAUGCCGGUGGAUACUGUCGGGCUCGAGUCCGGAAGAGGAGUGUGGAAUUCCUGGUGUAGCGGUGAAAUGCGCAGAUAUCAGGAGGAACACCGAUGGCGAAGGCAGGUCUCUGGGCCACUACUGACGCUGAGAAGCGAAAGCGUGGGGAGCGAACAGG